rnacentral:lncRNA from 1 species
AUGUGAUCAAUUACAAAAAUUAUUUGCUUGAUCAGAUGUUUUUUCAAUUCAUGAUAUGGUUCCCAAUAUGCAACAAUUCUAAACAUUUUCAUGCAUCAUAAAAGCCGUUACGAAAUCAAAAUCACAAAUAAAUUUUACUACUCUGAGCUAUAAAAUCAGUGCUCCAACAACACCAGCACGACGAGGAUCUUGUAUUAGUAUUACUGAAGAACAUGUAUCGAAAUGCGAUUGUUGAGGCAAUAUGUCCCAUUCUUUGCGAUGAAUACAUUCAUUGCUUGAGUCUUUGAACGGAAAAGUACUGUUGCCAUUUUAACAGGUUCAUUACCCUCGCCAGUUCUGAAACAAAGCACCAUCAUCUUGAGAGAAUAGUAAAAUCAGACAUCAAACAAAUUUAAAAAUGACAUAUACUUGAUGUUAACCUUAGAAACAUAUUGAGGGAAGAUGAAUCAUGAUCAUAAUCGG